rnacentral:misc_RNA from 1 species
GUUUGUUCUAGGUCCACGAUUCUGCUCACUCAGAGCAUCUGGGCCUCCAUUUAUAUCAUUGAGAGUUCUACCAACAUGAGUAUUAGAUCGAAGCUUAGCCACUACAGCCUGUCCAGGUGCACUUGAUCCAAAAUCAGAAAAACCAUUAUUGACAGGGACAGCAACUUUUAAUGGUUAGAAUGAGGCAGAACUUUCCCACAGGAAAAGUUAUCAACAGGUUGAAUUGAUCCAGAAGCACCUCUACCCUGAAGCAUGUGCGCUGAAGCUGAAGUAGGAAAACUACCAAAGGAAACACUCCCUUGUGUUAGAGACUGCUUGCUAGGUAUAGCAUUAGAUCUUGGCCCUUCUGAUAUCUUGGGCAUGGUAUUAGUCUGAUUUGAUGUGGGUUUUGUUUGGUGUUUGGGAAAGGCUGCAGAUGAUGAAGCGAGACCAUGUUUUAAACUUCUUCCAUCAGGUCUAUUGGUAAAUGCUAAUCCAGCUGCAUCUAACAAGGGGUUUGCGUCUGUCGAAUUGUUUGGGACAAAAUCUGGUUGAACAACAACAGGGACAUAACCAGGUGAACAUACAGUGUCUUUAUAAGGGGGCAUUGCGUAAUACUGUUGUGCUCCUACAUAUGGGCCAUCAACGCCUAUCAU